AUUGAACGCUGGCGGCAUGCCUUACACAUGCAAGUCGAACGGUAACGGGCCUUCGGGUGCCGACGAGUGGCGAACGGGUGAGUAAUGCAUCGGAACGUGCCCGAUCGUGGGGGAUAACGAGGCGAAAGCUUUGCUAAUACCGCAUACGAUCUACGGAUGAAAGCAGGGGACCGCAAGGCCUUGCGCGGACGGAGCGGCCGAUGGCAGAUUAGGUAGUUGGUGGGAUAAAAGCUUACCAAGCCGACGAUCUGUAGCUGGUCUGAGAGGAUGAUCAGCCACACUGGGACUGAGACACGGCCCAGACUCCUACGGGAGGCAGCAGUGGGGAAUUUUGGACAAUGGGCGCAAGCCUGAUCCAGCCAUGCCGCGUGCAGGAUGAAGGCCUUCGGGUUGUAAACUGCUUUUGUACGGAACGAAAAGCCUUCUUUUAAUACAGGAGGGUCAUGACGGUACCGUAAGAAUAAGCACCGGCUAACUACGUG
rnacentral:rRNA from 1 species